UACGGGGGGAGCAAGCGUUGUUCGGAUUUACUGGGCGUAAAGGGCGGGUAGGCGGCCACCGCAAGUCGACUGUGAAAUCUCCGGGCUUAACCCGGAAAGGUCAGCCGAUACUGCGGGGCUAGAGUGCAGAAGGGGCAACUGGAAUUCUCGGUGUAGCGGUGAAAUGCGUAGAUAUCGAGAGGAACACCUGCGGCGAAGGCGGGUUGCUGGGCUGACACUGACGCUGAACUGCGAAAGCUAGGGGGAGCGAACGGG
rnacentral:rRNA from 1 species